rnacentral:rRNA from 1 species
UACGUAGGGUGCAAGCGUUAAUCGGAAUUACUGGGCGUAAAGCGUGCGCAGGCGGUUCGCCGUGUCCUGUGUGAAAGCCCCGGGCUCAACCUGGGAAUGGCAUGGGAAACUGGCGGGCUUGAGUGUGGCAGAGGGGGGUGGAAUUCCGCGUGUAGCAGUGAAAUGCGUAGAGAUGCGGAGGAACACCGAUGGCGAAGGCAGCCCCCUGGGCCAACACUGACGCUCAGGCACGAAAGCGUGGGGAGCAAACAGG